ACGCUUUGUGGUUCAACUGAUUUGAAGAGCUUGCUCAGAUAUGACGAUGGACAUUGCAAAGAGUGGCGAACGGGUGAGUAACACGUGGGAAACCUACCUCUUAGCAGGGGAUAACAUUUGGAAACAGAUGCUAAUACCGUAUAACAAUAGCAACCGCAUGGUUGCUACUUAAAAGAUGGUUCUGCUAUCACUAAGAGAUGGUCCCGCGGUGCAUUAGUUAGUUGGUGAGGUAAUGGCUCACCAAGACGAUGAUGCAUAGCCGAGUUGAGAGACUGAUCGGCCACAAUGGGACUGAGACACGGCCCAUACUCCUACGGGAGGCAGCAGUAGGGAAUCUUCCACAAUGGGCGAAAGCCUGAUGGAGCAACGCCGCGUGUGUGAUGAAGGGUUUCGGCUCGUAAAACACUGUUGUAAGAGAAGAAUGACAUUGAGAGUAACUGUUCAAUGUGUGACGGUAUCUUACCAGAAAGGAACGGCUAAAUACGUGCCAGCAGCCGCGGUAAUACGUAUGUUCCAAGCGUUAUCCGGAUUUAUUGGGCGUAAAGCGAGCGCAGACGGUUAUUUAAGUCUGAAGUGAAAGCCCUCAGCUCAACUGAGGAAUUGCUUUGGAAACUGGAUGACUUGAGUGCAGUAGAGGAAAGUGGAACUCCAUGUGUAGCGGUGAAAUGCGUAGAUAUAUGGAAGAACACCAGUGGCGAAGGCGGCUUUCUGGACUGUAACUGACGUUGAGGCUCGAAAGUGUGGGUAGCAAACAGGAUUAGAUACCCUGGUAGUCCACACCGUAAACGAUGAGUGCUAGGUGUUUGAGGGUUUCCGCCCUUAAGUGCCGCAGCUAACGCAUUAAGCACUCCGCCUGGGGGAGUACGACCGCAAGGUUGAAACUCAAAGGAAUUGACGGGGACCCGCACAAGCGGUGGAGCAUGUGG
rnacentral:rRNA from 1 species